rnacentral:rRNA from 1 species
CGCGUAGGCGGCGGGUCAAGUCGAGUGUGAAAGCCCCGGGCUCAACCUGGGAAUUGCGCUCGAGACUGGUCUGCUUGAGUUCGGGAGAGGAGAGUGGAAUUCCCAGUGUAGAGGUGAAAUUCGUAGAUAUUGGGAAGAACACCGGUGGCGAAGGCGGCUCUCUGGACCGAUACUGACGCUGAGGCGCGAAAGCGUGGGAGCAAACA